rnacentral:rRNA from 1 species
GAUGAACGCUGGCGGCGUGCCUAAUACAUGCGAGUCGAGCGAAUGGAUUAAGAGCUUGCUCUUAUGAAGUUAGCGGCGGACGGGUGAGUAACACGUGGGUAACCUGCCCAUAAGACUGGGAUAACUCCGGGAAACCGGGGCUAAUACCGGAUAACAUUUUGAACCGCAUGGUUCGAAAUUGAAAGGCGGCUUCGGCUGUCACUUAUGGAUGGACACGCGUCGCAUUAGCUAGUUGGUGAGGUAACGGCUCACCAAGGCAACGAUGCGUAGCCGACCUGAGAGGGUGCUCGGCCACACUGGGACUGAGACACGGCCCAGACUCCUACGGGAGGCAGCAGUAGGGAAUCUUCCGCAAUGGACGAAAGUCUGACGGAGCAACGCCGCGUGAGUGAUGAAGGCUUUCGGGUCGUAAAACUCUGUUGUUAGGGAAGAACAAGUGCUAGUUGAAUAAGCUGGCACCUUGACGGUACCUACCAGAAAGCCACGGCUAACUACGUGCCAGCCGCCGCCGUAA